GACGAACGCUGGCGGCGUGCUUAACACAUGCAAGUCGAACGGAGAGGCACUGCUUGCGUGGUGUGCUCGAGUGGCGGACGGGGGCGUAACACGAGAGUAACGGGCCCUUGACUUUGGGGUAGGUUAAGGAAACGGGGGCUAAGACCGGAUAGGAGCUGCUGCUGCAGUGAGGGGGUUGGAAAGUUUCGGCUGUUGCGGAUGGACGCGCGGCUUAUCAGCUUGUUGGUGGGGUAGGCGCUGGCCAAGGCUUUGACGGGUAGCCGGCCUGAGAGGGUGACCGGCCACAUGGGGCCUGCGAUACGGCCCAGACUGCUACGGGAGGCAGCAGUGGGGAAUCUUGCACAAUGAGAGGACGCCUGUUGCAGAAACGCCCCGUGCGGGAUGACGGCCUUCGGGUUGUAAACCGCUUUCGCCUGUGACGAAGCGUGAGUGACGGUACUGAGUAAAGAAGCACCGGCUAACUACGUG
rnacentral:rRNA from 1 species